GGUUCCCAGCAUCCAUAGGAGGUGGCCUACAACCUCCUGGACCUCCAGUCCCAAGUGUUCUGACGCCCUUUUCUGGCCUCCUGUAGGCACAACAUAUCCAUGUUGCCCAUAUAAUCAGAGCUACGUUCCAAUUUCAUUGAUUAUAAAAGUGAGAAAAACAAAAGUGGGGAACCUUCACAACUUUCUUAGCAAUACUUGGAAAUUCAACUUGAGAACCACCAAAAUUGAAUGAGACUUCCACCAAGACACUGAAGGGCAGUUUCCCGUCGAGAAGUCUGCAUCCAGGUUUUGGUACAGUCAGGAAUCUUGACUUCACCUAUGUGGAGGUUCCUAAAAAGAACCCCUGAAGAUGCUGCAGGUGGCAGCAUGUAGCUGUGUCUCUGGCCUGGUUCCCAUGGCUGCCACUGCUGAUGUGGCAGAAAGGAUGAAGGAUGAGGAUGCUGUCUGUGGUAA